GUCUGCCUCGCAGCCCGUCGAACAAAAACAAAGGGUUUUCAAUAUCGAUCAUGGCUUUUGUUCGGCGCAAAGGAACAAAAUGCAUGAACAAUACUCAAAUAUAACUGUAAUGUGAGAGUAAGAAAUGGGGGUGUAUAAAGGGAAUAUCCGUACAUUAAUCUCAUUGUGGCUAACAGUUCUCAUUCUGACAAUAUUUGGGUUAUGUGCUCUUCACCAGCUCCUGCAUGCGAAAAGUACCGAUUUUUAUGCAUUGGAGUCUUCCACUUAUCUUCCUCUAUCAGAAGAAGAAAUCGUAUUUCUCAGGAAGCCAAAAUGGACACAUUUCAAAGUCUGGUUGAAAAAGUUAAAUUUCAAGCAGAUCUCUAAAAAGCGUCAGCUGCUUAAAAACUUAACACAACUGAAUUAUUGAUCGUGAUAUUUAAACCAUAAUUAACAAAAAUAAAAAAUCCCUGAAAUUAUUCCGAAAAGUCGACUACAAAUGAUGAUUAUACAUUACUCAAUAAAACAAAACUGUUUAAUAAAUUAGUGGAAUGUGACUGUUAAGAAAAGCAACGGGAAGUUUGGAUGAAUUCGAUGCACGGAUCCCAUGUCAAUAGAGGUGAGGGACAUCAAGACAUGCAUGAAAGAUCAACUGUUGAACUUGCCUUGAAGAUGCAUAUUCUUCACGUUCAAUCUAGACAUUGAUGCUAAUUUUCGCUUAUUUUAGAUCAUUCUGAAUUUAAGCUCUUUUGUAUGAAAUGUAAGUUACCGAAUUAGUGUGGACAUAUUGAUCUAUCCAAAUUAACAAGUGGUACUAGUUUAAAAAAUUAAUGUCUGACUCUCUGGGCAAUAAUAAAUUAUGUCAAGCAAUGAAUUCAGCAGGAGUAGUAUAUACAUGUAGGUUGCAUAUAUUAUUUAUUUUUAUUAAAAUUUAUAAAGCACACACUUUUACAAACAUUAAUCAAUGGCGAUGUGCAUGCAAAUUAAAUUAAAUUAUACGCAAGUUUAAAACAUUAAAAUUGAUUAAUUAUUCUAUAAUUAGCCAUGAUUAGUUAAUGAACACUAAGUUAUAAAGGUUAAAAUCAUUGAGGUCAUAUCCGCAAAAUCUUUGCUAUGAGAGUAACUUCUAAGACCUGGAACCAAACUUUAAUGCAAUAGGAUUCGUAUUGGAUUCCUUGAAAGUGACUGGUGGAAAUUCCAAAGAACAGUCUGUAUAAAAUAAACGAACCAUUCACACAAACAAAGUGAACAGAUUAAGAUCCCUAACAGACUAUCAACAAGUGAGGAAAAUAAAAGCACCAGAAACUCCGUCACCGAUUUGCAAGCAAGGUCCAUGAUAGACAAUCUUGUGUUUUCAGGGACCUAAGAGCACAGAGUAAGUUUUGCAUGAUUUUUUAAAGAAGUUGAACUUAAAUUGCGAGAUCCCAUUCGAGCGGGUUAACAAGAUGGAAAAGUUCAGCGAAUUCAGUAUUCACCCAAGGAAUAUCGUGGCCAAUUUAACUUACUUUAAAGACUGUGAGUCUAUUAGAACAAGAGCACCGCGAGAACGUGAAGGGUGUAGGAUAUGGGUUAAUGAAAAUUUUCCUUUAGAGAUUGAGGAGAGAAGGAAACAACUUUAUCCUGUCUUGAGGUAGGCAAAGAAAAGAAAAACAACAACAUGUCAGAUUAGUCCGUGAUACCCUUUACAUCAGUGGUUAAGUGUAUGGACCACCAGUUACCCGAUAUCCGUAAACUUCAGGAGCGCAAAAGAUCGCACCGUAUCGGUAAAACACCGAAAAGCACCACCGCUAGGGAAACGCGGAAGAACAGGACACUUGCAUCUGUAAGAUUUCGUUGAGGUUAAUGUCAGAGUAUCUGACCAUUCCAUAUAAGUAAAGGAGUCGAGACCCCAAAGGGGCCGAGAUCCAUUGCUUUUAAUGAGGAUAUUGGCCUGAUUAAUAUUCAAUUCAAUGGAAAUUUAACUAUAAUUUAAUCAAUUCUAUUUUUAUAAUACUAUAUACAUUGUAUAUAUAUAUAUAUAUAGUAACGAAACCGAGGGUAUGGGGUAGUUACAAAAUCAUGGGCCGCUGUUUAUUUUCUAUUGAAUUGUCAAGGUAGAAAUGGUUACGUUUGUUGACCGCAAUUUAUAUGACGAGCGAUGACAAUUGAUGGUCCACUUUUAAAUAAUGCCUUCACUUGAUAGUUAUAUAUAUAUAUAUAUAUAUAUAUAUAUAUAUAUAUAUAUAUAUAUAUAUAUAUACAAGAAUAAUAUUCUAUAUAAAGUUUAUAACAUU